rnacentral:rRNA from 1 species
UGCAGUCGAACGGUAGCACAGAGAGCUUGCUCUUGGGUGACGAGUGGCGGACGGGUGAGUAAUGUCUGGGAAACUGCCCGAUGGAGGGGGAUAACCACUGGAAACGGUGGCUAAUACCGCAUAAUCUCGCGAGAGCAAAGUGGGGGACCUUCUGGCCUCACGCCAUCGGAUGUGCCCAGAUGGGAUUAGCUUGUUGGUGAGGUAAAGGCUCACCAAGGCGACGAUCCCUAGCUGGUCUGAGAGGAUGACCAGCCACACUGGAACUGAGACACGGUCCAGACUCCUACGGGAGGCAGCAGUGGGGAAUAUUGCACAAUGGGCGCAAGCCUGAUGCAGCCAUGCCGCGUGUAUGAAGAAGGCCUUCGGGUUGUAAAGUACUUUCAGCGGGGAGGAAGGUGAUGUGGUUAAUAACCGUAUCAAUUGACGUUACCCGCAGAAGAAGCACCGGCUAACUCCGUGCCAGCAGCCGCGGUAAUACGGAGGGUGCAAGCGUUAAUCGGAAUUACUGGGCGUAAAGCGCACGCAGGCGGUCUGACAAGUCAGAUGUGAAAUCCCCGGGCUUAACCUGGGAACUGCAUUUGAAACUGUCAGGCUGGAGUCUUGUAGAGGGGGGUAGAAUUCCAGGUGUAGCGGUGAAAUGCGUAGAGAUCUGGAGGAAUACCGGUGGCGAAGGCGGCCCCCUGGACAAAGACUGACGCUCAGGUGCGAAAGCGUGGGGAGCAAACAGGA